CGGCGAGCUGGACUUCGAGUUCCUUACAGAAAGGACUGCAUACAUUGGACACUUGGCUGGAGGUUUAAUUCAUCUGACAUUGUCUUAACUAACUAGGAAGCUGCCAAGCCAGGCACAAGCAGAGAGCUCCGUAUCAUUGAUCCAUAAGAAGCUGGUAAUGGAAAAUC